AGUGAACGCUGGCGGCGUGCCUAAUACAUGCAAGUCGAACGGAGUGGCGCACGGGUGCGUAAUAUAUAGCUAAUCUGCCCCUUGCUGGAGGACAACAGUUAGAAAUGAUUGCUAAUACUCCAUAGCAAGGGAUGGGACUAUAUCGUAUCAGCUAGUCGGUGGGGUAACGGCCUACCGAGGCGAUGACGCGUAACAGGUCUGAGAGGAUGAUCAGUCGCAUUGGAACUGAGGCACGGUCCAAACACCUACGGGAGGGAGCAGUAGGGAAUAUUGCGCAAUGGGGGAAACCCUGACGCAUCAACGCCGCGUGGAGGAUGACACUUAGCGGAGCGUAAACUCCUUUGGUUAGGGAAGCGGUACCUAACGAGUAAGCACCGGCUAACUCCGUGCCAGCAGCCGCGGUAAUUC
rnacentral:rRNA from 1 species